GUAAGACAAAAAUAUCGUUUUGUUAUUGUUUUGAUCAUAGACUCGCGCGCCAAAUAGCUCAACUCCAUCAGAAGAAAAUGACCCACUUUUUUGAUAUUUCUCAGCAAACAGACAAUUUUACGUUUGAAUGGAAUGAGUCUUAUGGUGAGUGCGAGGAUUGUAACAGAAUAACUGCCGAAUGGCAGCUGAAUCAGUGUCAAUUCGGGUUCUGUGGCCGGUUUUUCUGUAGCGAUUGUGGCUAUCGCUGAGAAAGAUGCAAGGACUCAAACCCCCGCUCUGUGCAGCUUUGUGAUUCACACGCCAGGAUUGCGUAUCCUCGAUGUACAAGAUGUGAGAGCCGAUUCUGUGACGAUUGUACCAACGUUGUGGUGAAAAAGUGUCUGUCCUGCCUUGACAACAUUUGCUCCCUUUGCAUUAACAAAGAGGAACAGCACUUUUCCAACACUUGUGGAAACUGCAGUAACAAGACAAUGAGACCUUUGCAGGACAUGUGUCGCACAUCAAUCAGGAGGGCAAUAAGGGCGUCGCUUGCUACACCACAAGAGGAGCUUCACCCAAAACAAAUAGACAUGAACAUCAAACACCUUCCCAUACCUUCAGUAGUGAAAAGCUUUAUGCGAUUUGAAUGACAUAAUUCAAACAAUUAUUUAAAUGUAAAGAUAUUUAUUUCAAUUUAGAACAUAUUAUGUUGAUGUUAUGUUGUACAAAAUUAAAAAUCUAGUGAAAUAUAUUUAUUUCUAUAAACUCCUCUAAUAUAAAGUAUAAGAUAAGGAUCUGUAAUCCCUCAUAAAAUCUAUUACAUACAAUCAGGAUCAUACUCAUGGGCAGAUCUAGGGGUGGUCCGAGGGGGCUUCUAUCCCCCUUAUUUUCAGAUAUUUGCUCUAAUACCAUCUAUUAAUUAUAGAAAUCAUUGUAGAUGUAGUUUUUAAUGGUUACUAAGAACAGUCUCAACUCAAACUGUGAGGGCACUUGCUCUAUGUGUCAUAGGCUACUCAAAUGGUGAAGACAGUGCUCCAUGUGUUCAUGUGUCAGGUUAGCUCUCGUGAUGAUUCCAACAAGCUGCAACAAGUAAGAAAAGGUUCAAAUUGACAUGUUUUGACAGGUUUUCUUAGCUGUCCCUUAAUUAUUCACCCAAUAAAAAGACUACAUAGAA